AUAGAAAAACUACAGCAGGAGCUCCGAGAGGCCAAAAAACACCACUCACCGGGCAUGAAACAUUUUGAGCAAAUUGAAGACAAGAUCCUCAGCAUUGAAAAUAAGCAUAAAAACAGAGAGAAAGAACUCCAGCAAGUGAUACAAAAUUCAAAGGACUCUCACACUAAAGAACUAGAACAACAGACCGCCAAGUGGAAACAGGUUGUGGAAGUUAAGAACAAGGAGAUCCAGAAGUUCCGUGUGGAGCUGGACGCCAUAUUGGAUGUUCUCAGACUGUUACAGAAACAGGGAGUGGUUCUCCCAGUCCGGACAAGUCACACAUACUCCUAGCAGGAGUGUAGUCAUUGUCUAUGACUAUUGUAGUCAUGUCUACGACUAUUGUAUUCAGUGUCCACUGUCUAGGAUUAGUCACAUGUAUUACCGUAUGUAACAGGAAAGUUUUGAUCUGACUGUGAGCAUUAUUAUGAUGCAAACUGAGUGUUUGCUAUCAAGGAUUAUUGCGUCCACUCAGAAUCUGACACGAGCCAUGCCCCGUGCAUUAUUAGUCCAUUAGACUGUGAUAUUAGCUAACAUGUAUUAGACUGGGAUAUUAGCUAACAUGUAUUAAAUAUUAUAGAGAUCUCUCUACAGAUCACAGAUUAAGACUUAGGUCUUAGUUUCAGUCAUUCACAAAAUGUUUGUUUGCCAUAAAUAUGAAAUAAAUGCUAAAGGUAU
rnacentral:misc_RNA from 1 species